rnacentral:lncRNA from 1 species
AUGCAGCCAGCUCUUGAAGCUGUGAGACUCUCUGAUGUUGUGCUACCCCUUUUGGUCCUUCUCUACCAGCUCCGUGUCAUUAGUGCACCUGAUUUGCUGCAGUCCCUGCUUCAACUCAGGCCACAACUGGGUUGGUUAGAAACAAACAGCUUUCAAACCUGGGCUACCCAGGCAAUGUCCCUGAAAAAAUGUCAUACAUAGAGAGCUGCUUCUCCUGGACCUGGUCUCCACAAUGAGGAUGACUGGGUGGCUGGUCAAGAAUGAAAUUCACACCAGGGCGAGAUUCAGAAUCACAAGAGGGCUGGCAACAUGUCUGUCUGUCCACUGAGUGCUUGUUUCCCUUGUGAGAUGUGAGUACAUUCCCCAGCAAGCAUGGGAAAGAAGCAGCAGGCCUGCUGAGGCUUGCUACCAAGCACUUGGACAUAGAGACAAAGGUGCAUAUCCUUAUUGUUUUGUUAUUUAUUCAUUUAUUUUUAGACAGGCUUUCGCUGUUUGGCCCUGUCUCUAUAUCCAGACAAGCAUGACCCCCAAUUGUUUCAAUCAAGGCAUGCACCACCACCACCACUAUUGGCUACAGGUGCAUCCACCUUGCUGACCUGGAGAAAGGCUGUGUUGAAAACACAAGCUGUAACAGCAUCUGCGAAUUGACAUUUGAGGGAAUACAUUUGCUACUUUGAUCAAAGUUUGAGAAUACACGAGAAUGUGUACAAGUACACAGAUGCACAAGCACACAAGCGUAAACAUAUUACAUGUGAGUGUGUCUACACACACACACACACACACACACACACACACACACACACACACACACCAAAGCAAGUAUAGUGAUAAAGAAACACAAAGUUAAUUGAAGGACCAGGUAGCCAUUGGAAGUCCUGACCAUCUCUGCAGGAGCAUCCUGGUGAGCAAAACCAGGAGAGUGAGACAGGGUGAUGUUGCUGAUAACACUGGGGUCAUCCUCUCUGGAUGGUAGGUGGUUGACAGGACCCAGCAUGCCAGGCUUUUGGGAAGCUUAUUACUGCUGAGUAGAUGCAGUUGUUGGGCUGAUGAGAAGAUGAUCCCAGCUGUGUUAGCACUUGGGUCACCUAAUGUCUCUGUUCUCUGCAGCUUGAGACUAGGCAGACGGCCUGGCACAAGGGGAAAU